AGUGAACGCUGGCGGUAGGCCUAACACAUGCAAGUCGAACGGCAGCACAGUAAGAGCUUGCUCUUACGGGUGGCGAGUGGCGGACGGGUGAGGAAUACAUCGGAAUCUACUUUUUCGUGGGGGAUAACGUAGGGAAACUUACGCUAAUACCGCAUACGACCUACGGGUGAAAGCAGGGGAUCUUCGGACCUUGCGCGAUUGAAUGAGCCGAUGUCGGAUUAGCUAGUUGGCGGGGUAAAGGCCCACCAAGGCGACGAUCCGUAGCUGGUCUGAGAGGAUGAUCAGCCAUACUGGAACUGAGACACGGUCCAGACUCCUACGGGAGGCAGCAGUGGGGAAUAUUGGACAAUGGGCGCAAGCCUGAUCCAGCCAUACCGCGUGGGUGAAGAAGGCCUUCGGGUUGUAAAGCCCUUUUGUUGGGAAAGAAAAGCAGCAGGUUAAUACCCCGCUGUUCUGACGGUACCCAAAGAAUAAGCACCGGCUAACUUCGU
rnacentral:rRNA from 1 species